rnacentral:rRNA from 1 species
CUACGGAGGGGGUUAGCGUUGUUCGGAAUUACUGGGCGUAAAGCGUACGUAGGCGGACUAGUAAGUGAGGGGUGAAAUCCCAGGGCUCAACCCUGGAACUGCCUUUCAUACUGCUAGUCUUGAGGUCGAGAGAGGUGAGUGGAAUUCCGAGUGUAGAGGUGAAAUUCGCAGAUAUUCGGAGGAACACCAGUGGCGAAGGCGGCUCACUGGCUCGAUACUGACGCUGAGGUACGAAAGUGUGGGGAGCAAACAGGAUUAGAAACCCCAGUAGUCC